GCCCAGCUGGCGGAACUGGUAGACGCAGUCGCCUCAAAAGCGGCCGCCGCAAGGCGUGAGGGCUCGACUCCCUCGCUGGGCA
rnacentral:tRNA from 1 species